rnacentral:tRNA from 7 species
GCGGGUAUAGCACAGUGGCAGUGCACCAGCUUCCCAAGCUGGCCACGCGGGUUCGAUUCCCGCUACCCGCU